GCAGCAUUAGCUGUGGCAGCGUAUCCUCACGAGGUGCUCACCUGCGGUUACUCGGUCAUGAUGUUGUCCAAUCCACCUGAAAGUCCUGCCAGGCUAAAGAAGACGGGUCCCAGUGCAUGGUUUCUCCUCUCCCUGUGAAACACAAAUGGCAGAUCAAGAAAAAAAGCAGGUAAUAACUUCAUCAACGAGGUAAACAGAAGAACUCAUGUUCAGGACAGAGAUUUCACUACAAAGAUGGGGUAAUUGUGUAUUCAUCUUUUCAAAGUAGAGGGUCCACAAUGGCACGCUGUCCUGCCUCCUCUUGUCUCAUCAGGUCUUUUCCUUGUCUCUUCCUUGUGUUGUUUUCUUCCCUCUCUCUAAAAGACAGAUGGCAGUCUAGGAUUGUAUUAGUUAAAAACACACUUAAAAAGCCAGACAAACUAUCCAUUUUGUAUUUGAUACAAAUGUAUACUUACACUUUUUUUAGGAGAGGGUUCACAAUGGAUGCUGUCUCUUUUCCUUGUCUCAUCCAGACUUCUCUUCUUUUUCUGAAAGACAAACUGCAGAUAUGGGGGAUUACAGUUACUACAGAUACUGUUGUAUGUAUAGGGUUCUACUUCACCGUAAACACUAUUAAAGAUGAAGAUGAUCUGUUAAGGACUACUUAGCCUUUUGAUAACUCUUCCUGUGUUUUCUUCUCUGCAGGCAGACUGGCAGGUCAGGUUAGCUGAGAGAGAAGCACAGGUGGGCUUAAUACUGUAUUCUCUGGCCUCUAUCUUGCUUGGUCCCACCUGUUCCUGCUUCUUCUAUCAGCCUGUUCUUCCUCGUCCACCUGCCUGUCUCUGGUGGACUAGUAGUGUGGUUGGCUCUGACUGAUCAUGCAGCUGUUGCACUAGGUCUUCUCAUUCCUAGCUCAAACUGAAGCCUUUAGCUUGUGAUGCUAGUGAUGAGUCCGAUUCAUUAAAUAAUGUUGCAUGUAUUUCUAGCUCAAGGAAAUACAUUCAACAGUAUUAUUUAAAGAAAUCCAUUUGAAGUGCUAGUGCUGUGCAAGGCUGCAGUGGGUCGGUGUCUGUCCCAACACACUCUGGGCCGAUGAUGGGGUAAACCACAAUUUAGAAUACUUAAUUCCUCCGGGAUGGGAAAAAAAUGUGAUUGUCUUUGGAGAGAGCUCCUAUCUCAAGUGAUGCUCAUAGCUCCCUCGUAGUUCCCACCAGAUCAGACACACAGGCCAGCACCAAGAAAUAAAGAAAGGUGCAAUACACACCGGUGCAAGAUCAUCAAAAACACUGACCUGUGUACCACAACCAUGGUGAGACAAACUAUAUACAAAUGUACAAUAAUAACCCCUCAGUCAGCCCAAGACGCUACCGGUGCAAGACGCUACCGUGGAAGCCCUCAGGGGUAA